rnacentral:rRNA from 1 species
AGCGAACGCUGGCGGCAGGCCUAACACAUGCAAGUCGAACGAACCCUUCGGGGUUAGUGGCGGACGGGUGAGUAACACGUGGGAACGUGCCUUUAGGUUCGGAAUAACUCAGGGAAACUUGUGCUAACACCGAAUGUGCCCUUCGGGGGAAAGAUUUAUCGCCUUUAGAGCGGCCCGCGUCUGAUUAGCUAGUUGGUGAGGUAAUGGCUCACCAAGGCUACGGUCAGUAGCUGGUCUGAGAGGAUGACCAGCCACAUUGGGACUGAGACACGGCCCAAACUCCUACGGGAGGCAGCAGUGGGGAAUCUUGCGCAAUGGGCGAAAACCUGACGCAGCCAUGCCGCGUGGAUGAUGAAGGUCUUAGGAUUGUAAAAUCCUUUCACCGGUGAAGAUAAUGACUGUAGCCGGAGAAGAAGCCCCGGCUAACUUCGUGCCAGCAGCCGCAGUAACAC